UGCAAGCAAACUGAAAACAACCCAUC
rnacentral:piRNA from 1 species